GUAGGUGGGCAAGCGUUGUCCGGAAUUAUUGGGCGUAAAGCGCGCGCAGGGCGGUCCUUUAAGUCUGAUGUGAAAGCCCACGGCUCAACCGUGGAGGGUCAUUGGAAACUGGGGGACUUGAGUACAGAAGAGGAAAGCGGAAUUCCAAGUGUAGCGGUGAAAUGCGUAGAGAUUUGGAGGAACACCAGUGGCGAAGGCGGCUUUCUGGUCUGUAACUGACGCUGAGGCGCGAAAGCGUGGGGAGCAAACAGGAUUAGAUACCCUGGUAGUCCACGCCGUAAACGAUGAGUGCUAAGUGUUAGGGGGUUUCCGCCCCCUUAGUGCUGCAGCUAACGCAUUAAGCACUCCGCCUGGGGAGUACGGCCGCAAGGCUG
rnacentral:rRNA from 1 species